CUUUCUUUGCCCAGGCUGGCCUGGGACCCAAACAAUGGGGCUUCUGUCCCGCCAGGUCUGCCGUCACCUUUUACCUCCCUAUUGUGCAACGCCCUCUCUUCAACAGGUUGGGCCCAGGCCAGAGGUCUCUACCAGCAAAGAGGAUAAAAGAGACUACACCUGGACAAACCCUCCCAGGCCCAGGCCUGAGCCUCACAUGUGGCCCCGGGGAAGGCAUCAGGGACUCCCUUUGCCCUCCCACUGACCUCCCUGCAAACCUCCCCCAAACCAAGGGGCAUCCUCAGCUGGCCAGACCCUGGGGGAAGGGAGAGAGCCGAGGAUCACCGGCACCUGUGGCUGGGUUACCCCUGCCAUGGACCACUGGGUGAUCAAGAAGUCAUUCCAAAAUGUGAAGCGUUCUGAAGAUAUGCACAUAGCGUAAGAACCUGGUGUAAUGUGCUGGUCAAGGCGGUCUCAGAGAGGAGAUGACGUUUGAGCUGACACCUGAGGGAUGAGAAGAAAGCAGCCAUUCCCAGGGCCCAGGGGAGGCAUCCCAGGAAGCCGGAUCAGCAUGAGCAAAAGCCCUGAGGCCUGGCACAAGUUGGUCUGCUUGAGAAGCAGGAGAGAGCCCUGAGCAUCCGGAGUGCAGCAAGCGAGGUGCACAGAGGAGCAGGAAGGGGCUGGGAGAAGGCUGGGGCCGGAUCAUGCAGGACAGGCUGGAGGAAGGGGCUUGAAUUGUCUUCUGACCACUGAGGGGAUAUAAACAUGAGGGCAAAAUCAUCUGAUUUCCAUGUGCAAAGGCCCACUCUGGCUGCUCUAGAGAGAACAGAUGAUUGCAGGGUAAAAGUGGAUUUAGAGAGGUCAGAUGGAGGCUGGGUACGUGCCGUGUAUGGUAGAUAGCAUGCUACCAAAUACACUCACAGGUAGCCCUAUUAUCUCCAUUUCACAGAUGAGCAAGUCAAGAUGCAGAAGGACUCUCUGGCUUGUCCAAGGUCACACGGCUGUUAGGAGCAGAGCAGCGUCCUGGUGCCCAAGCCCUGAGGUCCCCAGCACACUGCCUCUGCAAUGGCCACAACUGUCCAAAGACUAAGCUGACUCUCACACCUGGUAGUGUCUGUGGUCAUUCACUGUGGAUGGAAGUGGAGAAAUGCAGAAAACAGAAACACAGCUUCCCCUUUUCUGUCAUAUUUCUGUAUCGUUGGUGUUUGGAGCCAGUUGAGCACAAAGGGCCCCUGAGUGCUGUUUCCUUGUGAUAUUUGGGGGUUAACAGCUUCCCCUCAUCUCUUAAUUACCUGCCCUCCUUCACUUCAGCUGCACAUUCGUUAAAGAAUGCUCUCCCAGGAGAAGAGCUUGGUGUUAUCACCCACAAACAUCUUAGAAAACUAAUGCUAUCCUUGAGUGCCUGUUUACAGAAACAUUUUUACAUCUCACUUGACAUUUCCAGCAAAUCUUGAUCCUUCCAGCCAGGAAUAUUAAUAUAUAGGUCUUGAAAAGUGCAAGAGGCUCUUCCAUGGCUCCAAGCACAUUUGACACUCUUCCUUUUCUGAUCCCCAAGCAGACAGUGAUGAAACCCCAAUAGCUGGGCGAAUACUCAUCCAACAGGAAGAAUCAGUUUUAAGAGCUGGGUUCUCAGGGUCAAAUACUGUGGUGUGGCCUUUUGGUUGUAAUGAGUUGAAUGGAGGUCUCAAAAAAGAUAUAUCCAUGUUCUAAUCCCCAGAACUUGUGAAUGUGACCUUAUUUGGAAAAAGAGUCCUUUUGGAUGUAAUUAAGUUAAGGAUUUUGAGAUAAGGAGAUCAUCCUGGGUUAUCUGGGUGGACCCUAAAUCUGUUGACAAUGUCCUUAUGAGAGACCCCAGAGGGCACAGACAGGAAAGGAAGAGGCAAUGUGGCCCCAGAGGCUGAGAUCAGAGCUCUGUGGCCACAAUUCGAGGAACACCUGGAGCCACCAGAAGCUGGAGGAGGCAAGGAACAGAUUCUCCCUGAUCCUCUGGAUACAGAGGGAGAAUAGCCUGGCCGACACCUUGAUUUUGGACUUCUGGCCCCCAGAACUGAGAAAAUUAACUUCUGUUGUGUUAAGCAGCCACGUUUGUAGCAGUUCAUCAUAGCAGCCCUGGGAAAGAAAUACAGUGGGCUUCCAGUUCAAGGAGGAUCCACGAGGCCUGAGCUCCAUCUGUCGAUUGGAAUCACCAAAAUCAAGGUUGUGUGCGGGUAACGCCAGCACAAGCAGCUCAUGCUGGCAAAAGCAGACCAAACCGGCUCACGCAACGUCAAGUCAUCUUGAAGUGGUUCACGCACCACAGUGAGUGGUAUUGAUUGUGGUUAAGAGCCAGGUUCAAGGAGGUUUAUCACUCAGUAGCCAGGUAAAGCAGGUUCCAGGCCUGGCUCCACCACUCAACAACCGGGGAAACAGGGGCGGCAAAACUGAAUCCCAGAGAGAAGACUCACUCAGACACAGCUAUCUGAACACUCUUUUCCAGUUCCCCUAGGGCAGCAGAGGAAGCAAGGUGGGGGGAAGCCAGUGGUCAAGGAUUCCAUGCGGAAUGUACCCUAGAAUUAACCCAUGGAGAGAGGGUAAGGGAACGGGCUCAGGCCUGGGAAGAAGUGGGGAGGACAGUGUCCUGUUGACCUAUUCAAAAACAUCCAGUUUUAGUUAAUUUUUAGUUCAUUAGUCACCACUUUUUAUUAGUAUCUCAUGUAUUCUUUCACAGUUUCUUUCUGCAGGUACAAAAAUAAUGAUUUUUUUUCUUUCUUUUUCUUCUUUGAGACAGGGUCUCGCUCUGUUGCCCAGGCUGUAGUACAAUGGUGCAAUCUCGGCUCACUGCAACCUCUGCCUCUGGGUUCAAGCGAUCCUUUGCCUCCGCCUCCUGAGUAGCUGGAAUUACAGGCAUGCACCAUGAUGCUUGGUUAAUUUUUGUAUUUUUAGUAGAGUCAGGGUUUUGCUAUGUUGGCCAGGCUGGGCUCCAACUUCUGGUCUCAAGUGAUCCACCCGCCUCGGGCUCCCAAAGUGCCAGGAUUACAGGCGUGAGCCACUAUGCCUGGCCAAAAGUGGCGAUGUGUUCUUAAUGCCCAUUUUCACAUAAAAGGUAAUAAUCUACCCACACCAUGCUGUACCUUGUUUGUUUUUUGUGUGUUUGUUUGUUUGUUUUUUGACAGAGUCUUGCUCUGUCAGCUAGGCUAGAGUGCAGUGGCACAAUCUCAGCGCGCUGCAACCUCCGCCUCCCGGGUUCAAGCGAUUAUCCUGCCUCAGCCUGCUGGGUAGUUGGAAUUACAGGAGCCUGCCACCAUGCCCAGCUAAUUUUUGUGCUUUUAAUAGAGAUGGGGUUUCACCAUGUUGGCCAGGCUGGUCUCGAACUCCUGACCUCAAGUGAUCCAUCCACCUUGGCCUCCCGAAGUGCUGGGAUUACAGGCGUGACCCACCGCGCCUGGCUCUUGUUUGUUUUUUUAACUAAUCACACAUCUUAGAGACCUUUAUCAGUAAUUAGAGAGCUUCCUGGAUCUUUUAUAUCACUGCAUAAUAAAUAUUCUAUUAUAUAGAUUAGAAUAAUUCAAAUUACCAGUUCCCUAUUGGUGGACAUUUGUUUCUGGUUUGUUUGUUUUUUCUAUUUUUUUUCUUAUCACAAACAGUGCUGCAAUAAGUAAUUGUGCAUAUGCACUGUUUCACAUGUGUGCAGGUAUACCUGCAGGAUAAAUUCCCAAAAAUGAAUUCCUGAUUUAAGAGUAUCUUUUUUUUUUUGAGACAGGGUCUUGAUCUGUUGCCCAGGCUAAAGUGCAGUGGCAUGAUCACGAUGCACUGCAGCCUCAGCCUCCUGGGCUCAAGCGAUCUUCCCACCUCAGCUUCCCAAGUAGCUGGGACUACAGGCAUGUGGCACCACGGCUGGUUAAUAUUCUCAGUGUAACAGAGUUUCAUCACAUUGCCCAGGCUGGUCUUGAACUCCUGGGCUCAAGCAAUCCUCCCACCUCAGCAUCCCAAAGUGCUGGGAUCACAGGCAUGUGCCACCAUGCCUGGCAGGUUGAAAGUACUGUAUGAGUUAUCUAUUGCUGCAUACCAGAUUAUCAUAAACUCAGCAGUUUAAAAAAACACCCAUUGUUUAGCUCACAGUCUCACCUGAACUGGGUGCUGAGUUCAGGGUGAAACCAAGGUGGCGGCCAGGCUUGGUUCUUUUUUGGAAGCUCUGGGGGGAAAAUCUACUUCCAAGGCCAUUCUUGUUGUUGGCAGAAUCUGGAUCCUUGUGGUUGUAGAACUGAGUCUCUGGUUUCUUGCAGGCUUCCAGGAGGGGCCUCCCUGGGCUCCCGGAGGACACCCACAGUCCUCACCAUGCAGCUCCCUCCAACAUCAAGCCAGGAAUGGCCGAACAGAUCUUUCUCAUGCUUCAAAUCUCUGAUGAAUUUCUCUUGCCAGAGAAAGCUUGCCAUUUUCCAAGGGCUCACCCAGUCAGAUCCGUCCAACAAGGGUGAUCUCCCUAACAUUAGGUUAACUGACUUGGAACCUCAGUUAAUCUGCAAAAUCCCUUUUGUCAUAUAAUGGAAUACAAUCAUUUGGUUCACAUGCUCAUCUUAUUCACAGGCCCUACACUCAUACAAGGGCAGGGGACCACAGAAGAGUGAAGGCCAGUGAGGGUCACCUCAGAAUUCUGCCCAACACCGGUGUUUUGUAAUUUGGGUAGAUGUUGCCAUGUUGUCCUCCGUGGGGAUUAUGCAGAGGGAACUCUCCUCCUCCAGCAACAGUACAUGUACCUGCUUUUCCAUGGUGCUGCUUAGAGAAUGUUAUCAAACCUUUGGAUUUCUGCCAGUCUGAUAGGAGAAAAAUGGAAUCUCAAUUGUAUUUUAAAAUUGUAAUUAUCGCCUUAUGAAUAAGGCUGAGCAUUUCCUCAAAAGCAUAAGAGCCAUUUAUAUACUUUUUUCUUUAUGGCUUCUGGUUUUGAGGCAUAGAAAGGUCUUUCUAGCUCUAAAGUUAAUCAGAAAUUCUCUGUUUUCUUUUUGCUUUUUUUAAAAUUUUACUUUAAGUCCUUGGAUACAUGUGCUGAACGUGCAGGUUUGUUACAUAGGUAUACAUGGGCCAUGGUGGUUUGCUGCACCUAUCAACCCGUCAUCUAGGUUUUAAGCUCCACAUGCAUUAGGUAUUUGUCCUAAUGCUCUUCCUCCUCUUUCCCCAUGCCCCCAACAGGCCCCGGUGUGUGAUGUUCCCCUCCCUGUGUCCAUGUGUUCUCAUUGUUUAGCUCCCACUUAUGAGUGAGAACAUGCAGUGUUUGGUUUUCUGUUCCUGUGUUAGUUUGCUGAGGAUGAUGGUUUUCAGCUUCAUCCAGGUCCCUGCAAAGGACAUGAACUCAUUCUUUUUUAUGGCUGCAUAGUAUUCCAAGUUGCAUAUGUGCCACAUUUUCUUUAUCCAGUGUAUCAUUGAUGGGCUUUUGGGUUGCUUCCAAGUCUUUGCUAUCGUAAGUAGUGCUGCAAUAAACAAAUGUAUGCAUGUGUCUUUAUAGUAGAAUGAUUUAUAAUCCUUUGGGUAUAUACCCAGUAAUGGGAUUGCUGGGUCAAAUGGUAUUUCUAGUUCUAGAUCCUCGAGGAGUCGCCACACUGUCUUCCACAAUGGUUGAGCUAAUUUACACUCCCACCAACAGUGUAAACGUGUUCCUAUUUCUCCACAUCCUCACCAGCAUUUGUUAUUUCCAGACUUUUUAAUGAUUGCCAUUCUAACUGGCAUGAGAUGGUAUCUCCUUGUGGUUUUGAUUUGCAUUUCUCAGCUCAUUGCAACCUCUGCCUCCCAGGUUCAAGCAAUUCUCCUGCCUCAGCCUCCAGAGUAGCUGGGAUUACAGGGGCACGCCACCAAGCCCAGCUAAUUUUUGUAUUUUUAGCAGAAACAGGGCUUCACCAUGUUGGCCAGUCUGGUCUCAAACUCCUGAUCUCAAGUGAUCCAUCCACCUCAGCCUCCCAAAGUGCUGGGAUUAUAGGCGUGAGCCACCACGGCUGGCCAUUCUCCUGUGUUUUCUUCUGGGGCUUUUAUACUUUCAUUUUUUAAAAUCCAUAGUUUCUUGGAGCUGGAGGUGUCCCUUGUCAUUUUCUCAUCAGUGAGUGCAAAGCAGGAUCCCAAAAGGAUUGGAGUCCAGAGUAGAGAAAGGAGCUGCCGCGGUGGAGUCUGUUCAGUGCAGGCUCUGAUCUCCUUCAGCCCUGCCAGGAAUCCCAGCCAGCAGAUCUUCUUCCAGCUUCCCUUUCUCCAGCACUCUUGAUCUUCUGGGCUGGCACAGGGUCCAGGGUUGAUGGGGAUCCUAGCUGCCUGAGGAGCUUCCAGUCUGGAGGGUGAUACAAGCACAUGGCCAGACCUGAAUUCAAGCCAUGAGAGAGAUUCAGAACCUGGGCUGGGAGCGCAGGGGAGGGAGCGGGGUGCUGAUGGGGGUGGAUGGGAGGCUCCAGAGAGGAGGUGGCGUCUGAACUGAACCUUAAGAAUGAGGGGAAAUGUAAUGGCAGCGAUGAGAAAGGGGAGGCACUUCAGUGCAGAGAACAGCAAGAGCAAAGACAAGGAGGUGGAAAAUCAGCCAGAAACCUAGCCUGGAGAGGGUUUAGUGGACCAUGGGUCCUUGAUGGUAGAGACACAACAUGACUUAUCUCUGUGUCCCAUCCUCUGUGCCAGAGGCGGCAUCGACCAGACUUGGACAAAUGAAGCAGAAGGGACAGGGGACUUAGAAUACUAGGCUGCAUCAUUUUCUUUUUACUCUGACAGUGAGAAGCAAAGACCUCCACAAAGAAAGAAGCCCUUGGCUGUGUCAUCAUUUUAGAAUCUGGGCACUCUCUGCACACCACUGCCCCCUCAUGGCUGAUCUAGGAAUUCUCUCUAAAUCCCAGACUGAAGGUGAGGAGGAGGCUCAGUGAGUCUUAGAGAUUUGAAAAGCCGUGAAAUCCUGGUUGGAGAACAUCUGAGUCCAAAGGGCCCUCAGAGACUCUCUGACUUCCUCAUUA
rnacentral:lncRNA from 1 species